CUGGUCUGAGAGGAUGAUCAGUCACACUGGAACUGAGACACGGUCCAGACUCCUACGGGAGGCAGCAGUGGGGAAUAUUGGACAAUGGGCGAAAGCCUGAUCCAGCCAUGCCGCGUGUGUGAAGAAGGUCUUCGGAUUGUAAAGCACUUUAAGUUGGGAGGAAGGGCAUUUACCUAAUACGUAAGUGUUUUGACGUUACCGACAGAAUAAGCACCGGCUAACUCUGUGCCAGCAGCCGCGGUAAUACAGAGGGUGCAAGCGUUAAUCGGAAUUACUGGGCGUAAAGCGCGCGUAGGUGGUUCGUUAAGUUGGAUGUGAAAUCCCCGGGCUCAACCUGGGAACUGCAUUCAAAACUGUCGAGCUAGAGUAUGGUAGAGGGUGGUGGAAUUUCCUGUGUAGCGGUGAAAUGCGUAGAUAUAGGAAGGAACACCAGUGGCGAAGGCGACCACCUGGACUGAUACUGACACUGAGGUGCGAAAGCGUGGGGAGCGAACAGGAUUAGAUACCCUGGUAGUCCACGCCGUAAACGAUGUCAACUAGCCGUUGGGAGCCUUGAGCUCUUAGUGGCGCAGCUAACGCAUUAAGUUGACCGCCUGGGGAGUACGGCCGCAAGGUUAAAACUCAAAUGAAUUGACGGGGGCCCGCACAAGCGGUGGAGCAUGUGGUUAAUUCGAAGCAACGCGAAGAACCUUACCAGGCCUUGACAUCCAAUGAACUUUCCAGAGAUGGAUUGGUGCCUUCGGGAACAUUGAGACAGGUGCUGCAUGGCUGUCGUCAGCUCGUGUCGUGAGAUGUUGGGUUAAGUCCCGUAACGAGCGCAACCCUUGUCCUUAGUUACCAGCACGUAAUGGUGGGCACUCUAAGGAGACUGCCGGUGACAAACCGGAGGAAGGUGGGGAUGACGUCAAGUCAUCAUGGCCCUUACGGCCUGGGCUACACACGUGCUACAAUGGUCGGUACAGAGGGUUGCCAAGCCGCGAGGUGGAGCUAAUCCCAGAAAACCGAUCGUAGUCCGGAUCGCAGUCUGCAACUCGACUGCGUGAAGUCGGAAUCGCUAGUAAUCGCGAAUCAGAAUGUCGCGGUGAAUACGUUCCCGGGCCUUGUACACACCGCCCGUCACACCAUGGGAGUGGGUUGCACCAGAAGUAGCUAGUCUAACCUUCGGGAGGACGGUUACCACGGAGUGAUU
rnacentral:rRNA from 1 species